rnacentral:tRNA from 1 species
GCCUAGUUAGCUCAGUUGGUAGUGCGUCUGCCUCGUAAGCGCUAGGCCGCGGGUUCGAUUCCCACCCGGGGCG